rnacentral:rRNA from 1 species
AGCAGUGAGGAAUAUUGGUCAAUAGCCUAACGGCUGAACCAGCAAUUUGGGGGAAUGUAUAGCGAAAGCUAGUUGUAUUAACUAAUAGCUAAUGCAAGAUCGACUACGUCGACUAAAGUUCUAGGUAAAAUAAUGAUGAUGACAAUUUUUUACCUAUAUGUCUUGACCAAGCCUCGUGCCAGCAGUCGCGGUAAUACGUGGAAGACUAGUGUUAUUCAUCUUUAAUAGGUUUAAAGGGUACCUAGACGGUAUUUCUAGCCCAAAACAGGGUACGGGUUUACUAGAGUUUUAUGUGAGAAGGGGAGUACUCAUGGAGUAGAGAUGAAAUUUUGUGAUACUAUGAGGAAACUGGUGGCGGCGAAAGCAACCUUCUAUGUAUAAACUGACGUUGAAGGACGAAGGACC